rnacentral:rRNA from 1 species
UACAGAGGUCUCAAGCGUUGUUCGGAAUUACUGGGCGUAAAGGGUGCGCAGGCCGCGCGGGCAGUCAAUUGUGUAAUUCAGGGGCUCAACCCCUGGACUGCGCUUGAUACUUCCGCGCUCGAGCUUUGGAGAGGAGUCUGGAAUUCUCGGUGUAGCAGUGAAAUGCGUGGAUAUCGAGAAGAACACUUAGGGCGAAGGCAAGACUCUGGACAAAUGCUGACGCUCAUGCACGAAGGCUAGGGUAGCGAACGGG